rnacentral:rRNA from 1 species
AGAGUUUGAUUAUGGCUCAGGAUGAACGCUGGCGGCGUGCCCAACACAUGCAAGUCGAACGGAGCUAUUUUUAGAGACUUCGGUCAAAGAAGCUUAAGCUUAGUGGCGGACGGGUGAGUAACGCGUGGAGAACCUGCCCUGUACCGGGGGAUAACAGCUGGAAACAGCUGCUAAUACCGCAUAAGCGCACGAGGCCGCAUGGCCCUGUGUGAAAAAACUCCGGUGGUACAGGAUGGCUCCGCGUUGGAUUAGCCAGUUGGCGGGUAACGGCCCACCAAAGCGACGAUCCAUAGCCGGCCUGAGAGGGUGAACGGCCACAUUGGGACUGAGACACGGCCCAGACUCCUACGGGAGGCAGCAGUGGGGAAUAUUGCACAAUGGGGGAAACCCUGAUGCAAGCGACGCCGCGUGAAGAAAGAAGUAUCUCGGUAUGUAAACUUCUAUCAGCAGGGAAGAUGAUGACGGUACCUGACUAAGAAGCCCCGGCUAACUACGUGCCAGCCGCCGC